UAUGUGAUCGUCUCUCGCAUAUCAAUAAGCGGAGGAAAAGAAACUAACAAGGAUUCCCCUAGUAACGGCGAGUGAAGCGGGAAGAGCUCAAAUUUGAAAUCUUAAAGGGUUUCCCUUUACGAAUUGUAGUUUAAAGAAGUGUUUUCUGUUGAGGUUUUGGUAAAAGUUCUUUGGAAUAGGACAUCAUAGAGGGUGAGAAUCCCGUAUUUGACCUUUACUUUCAACUUUGUGAUACACUUUCAAAGAGUCGGAUUGUUUGGGAAUGCAGUCCAAAAUGGGUGGUAAACUUCAUCUAAAGCUAAAUAUUGGCGAGAGACCGAUAGCGAACAAGUACCGUGAGGGAAAGAUGAAAAGAACUUUGAAAAGAGAGUUAAGCAGUGACGUGAAAUUGUCAAAAGGGAAGCGUUUGACACCAGUGUUGUUUUUCUGAAAAUCAAUUAAAGAACUGUUUAUGCUAAGUUGUUUAGACCUUAUCAGCUAUCUGCUUAGUUUUGAGCUUUUCUUUAAUGCACUUUUCAGUUAACAAGUCAACAUCAAUUUCUUUUGCUGUAAAAAAGCUUGAGGAAGGUGGCUUGAGAUUCGUCUUAAGUGUUUAUAGCCUCUUGCCUAUGCAGUCGGAGAGAUUGAGGUCUGCAGCGUAGAUCCUUCGGGGCUGAAUGCAUUUGUGCUAAGUUAUAGCAUUUUAUAGACAACUUGUUGACUAUGAUUUGUCUUGUAGCUUACUCGCUUAUGUUAUUUUACCUACGCUUAGGAUGUUGAUCUACAGAGCGAGAGU
rnacentral:rRNA from 1 species